rnacentral:lncRNA from 1 species
CUUAUAUUUUGGAUUUUUAUUCCUUAUUUCUAGUUAGAUAUUUGUGUUGUAAGCCUUUAAAAAGGCCAACUCUGAAUUCAAUAAAGGCAUCAAGCCAAUUAGUAUUCAACUUUCUAUCUCUCUUCUUCUCUAAGCCUUCGUAAACCUUCUUCCAAAAUUGACCGUAUCAGUAUCUGUGCAGGUUUAAAAAAUAAGUGAGCAGGAAAGAAGUGUGUCAACUGAUAAAGUAAGCAAUUGAACAAUGUUUCACUUCUCUUUAGAUUAGAGUAAGAAGAAGAAGUUGCCUGGGGUUAAAGGAGAAUCUGGAGGAGGUUGGGUAAAGAUGAGAGUAAAUAAGUUGAAAUUAAGAUUGAGAUGAAAAUUGCAAAUGAUUAAAUUGUUUAAAUAUAAUAAAAAAGAAAAAUAUUAAUGGUCAAAACGGCAGAUGCGUAGAGUUCUGCAAUAAAUUAAGUUGUUGCACUUACUUACUUUUUGCUUUUGUUUUAAGUUCUUGUAAGUUGUACCUAAAGAUGGCCAAUGGGUGUGCCUAGCCCAUGCCCGCCCAAAAAAAAAAAUGUGGAUAACUUUUAUUUUUUCCCUUUUUUAGAGGGCGUGCCUAGCCACGCACCUGGCAUCCUUUUUUCAAACCCACAUGACCUUUUUUCACGACCAUUAGCCCAUACACUUGUAGUAGUAAUAGUAGUAGUAGUAGUAAUAGUAGUAGUAAUAGUAAUAAUAAUAAUAAUAAUAAUAAUAAUAAGUUUUUCUUAAGGGUUAACAAUUAAUUAUUAACUUACACUUACAUGGAGUCACAAAAGCAUUGUCUAUAAUAAUAUUAAUGCUUAUAAGUUUUAGAUAAAUAUAUAAUAGUUAACAUUUCUUUUAAUCAAUUGCACAACUAUAUUAUCUAAUUUCGCAAUAACUAAUUAUAGUAAAUGAUACAUAAAUCUAUUUCCAUAGACUUUGGUAAUAAUUAAUAAAAAUUAGAAUAACAAUGCUGGAAUAACGAUAACAAAAAGUUACAACUAUGAGAUACUAAUUAUAAUAAGUCACAACUCACAAUUACAAAUACUGAUUAUGAAAAAUCAUAAUUAUGAAAAUACGAAAUAUCAAUUAUUAGUCACAAAAUAACAUUUAUUAAUCAAAGGUAUAGACACGGUAAAUGAAUAAGGUUAAAUUCUUUCUUGGUGGACAAGUAAAAAAUUUGACUUGUGCCAGUGUAAACCCAUUAUUUCAAGAAUAUUUGAAUAGAUAACUUCUCAAUGACACCGAUUAUUUCAAGAAUAUUUGAAUAGAUAACUUCUCAAUGACAAUGCUUACACUCGAAGAUAAUUUAUUUGUAAGAACGAUGCAAGCUAUUAUCUAUUAUUUCCUCUCUUAUUGUAGUAAAAUGCUGAAAAUUUUCAUUUAGAUGAUGCCUUCUUAACUAAUUAAGCCUUGCAAUGUUGUUAUUUUCAUGAGGUCUUACUGCAUCGACACUGUGUUCUUGAGGGUGUUGAGGUUUUUUUGCGUUCAUAUUGUGUUCUUAAGGAUCCAUAGUGAUUUUAGAAUGCAGGAAAAGUUUGAAAAGAGCAAAGAAAAAGAAUUAUAAUAUUCUUAUGAUAUUCACGAGUUACAACUGGUAAGUAGGGGUGUUCAGAAUCCAAUCUGAUCUGUUCAAUCUGUCCGACCCGCUCAAUCCGAUCCGUAUAAAUCCGAUCCGUGGAUUGGUGGAUUGGAUAUGGAUUGAAAAUUUAAAAAUCCGCAAAAAUCCGUGAAUCCGCAAAUAUAUAUAUAUAUAAUUAAAAAUUAUUAUAAAUUUAAUUAAAAAAAAUUAUAAACGUGACAUUACAUAGUUACAUAAGCACUAUAACAUAUCUUAGCCAUUACCUAAUAAUAAUAUAAAAUGAAAAAUAAUUAAAUAAUCAAAUAUAACUUGUAAAAAUUGUAAAACAAAAUAAAAGCAAAGUCACACGCACUAGCAAAAGCAAAAUAACAUAACGCCAAGUCACCAACAAUUUGCAAAGUCACCUAAAAACAAAGUAACAUGACGCCAAGUCACCAAUAAUUUGCAACUAAAAAACCCUAAGCUUUCCCGCCGUUACACACACUAGCAACACUCAAUACUGGUUGGAUACACUCUCGACACAGAUUUAAAGGACAUCAGCCACGCGAUUCCGUCGAGAGCAAGCCAUUUUCUUUUCCAAGUCCAUUGAGCCACUUCACAUUCACUGGUUCAAGCUGAACAAUUUCACUAUCACAACCUUCAAGAUCGCCACCCGUGCGGAUUUUCCUAGUUCCCAUCGUGGACGGCUCCGUAAUCACCACUUUUUCAACAGGCGCAACAACCCUAGUGAAGGAUCAUACUGUGUUUGGUUUCCGAAACUUCUCCAUUUCAAUUAAUUCUGACUUUAUUUGAACAAUUAAUUUCGGUAUUAUAUUAACGUAUUAUUGUAACUUUAUUUGAACAAUUAAGCUUAGUGUGUUAUAUUUUGAAACUUUGAACGUAUUAUUGUAGCUUUAUUUGAAUAAUUAGUCUCGAUAUGUUAUGUUUUGAAACUUUAAAUGUAUUAUUUUAUCUUUAUUUAAAUAAUUAAUUUAUUUAAAUUUUAUUCAAUUUUAAAGUUAAUUGGUAGCAAAAUUAUUUUUAUAUUAGAUUUUUUUUAUUUCAUUAGUUGGAGAGAACUAAAAAUUUUUAAUUCGAAAACUAAUGCGCAAAAUGGUGGAUUGGAUAUGGAUUGAGUCAAAUCCGCAUCCGAUCCGCAGAUGUAUGGAUUGGAUUUGGAUUGAAUUUUAUCAAUCCGUGGAUUGGAUUGGAUUGAAAAAUUAUAAUCCGCAAAAUCAUGGAUCAGAUAUGGAUUGAUGUCCAAUCUGUAAAAUCCAAUCCGCGAACACCCCUACUUGUAAGUAUGAACUGUUAUGACGUGUUUGUAUAUAAUUAUUAGUUAGUAGUAAAAGGACAAAAGUUGAUUUAGUUACUUUAGUAGGUGAAAGUAGCCGAAUAGGUAAAAUAUAUUUAGUGAAAUAUAAAAAAUUGUAUUGUGAAUUUUUUGAUUUUGUAGAGCUGUGGAGGAAAGCUGAGUGGUUGGUAGGAAAAAGCUAUAAAAUAAGGUAGGAAAAAGCUAUAAGGACUCAACUAUCUUGCAACAGUUGCAAGGUACCACCUGAUUUUAUUUUUUGUGGUUUCAAUUAUUGGUCAUUGGAUUCAAUAAAAAAGUAGAUUUAAGGGUGGAGAUUCAUUUGUUUGAAUAUUAACAUUAUGCUCCGUACUAUUUAUCAAAAAUGCAAAAGAGUUAAAGAAUUAAAACUUUUAGCACAUACAUCCAAAUUAUUUAAAAUUUUAUGUUGUUUAAUUAGUAGCGAGUCUUAAAAAAUAA